GAUGAACGCUGGCGGCGUGCCUAAUACAUGCAAGUCGAGCGAACAGACGAGGAGCUUGCUCCUCUGACGUUAGCGGCGGACGGGUGAGUAACACGUGGAUAACCUACCUAUAAGACUGGGAUAACUUCGGGAAACCGGAGCUAAUACCGGAUAAUAUAUUGAACCGCAUGGGUCAAUAGUGAAAGACGGUUUUGCUGUCACUUAUAGAUGGUUCCGCGCCGCAUUAGCUAGUUGGUAAGGUAACGGCUUACCAAGGCGACGAUGCGUAGCCGACCUGAGAGGGUGAUCGGCCACACUGGAACUGAGACACGGUCCAGACUCCUACGGGAGGCAGCAGUAGGGAAUCUUCCGCAAAGGGCGAAAGCCUGACGGAGCAACGCCGCGUGAGUGAUGAAGGUCUUCGGAUCGUAAAACUCUGUUAUUAGGGAAGAACAAAUGUGUAAGUAACUAUGCACGUCUUGACGGUACCUAAUCAGAAAGCCACGGCUAACUACGUG
rnacentral:rRNA from 1 species